UUUCCGAUUGUGGGUUUCGUUCUCUUCGUAUCGUGCGGUGCAUUUUGGGGUCGGACAUGGCUUUCGAUUGCUUGCUUGGCGUUUUACCCUUGCAGGUGGUUGAUUGGCAUUCCGGCUUCGGGGAUGUCUACCGUAAAGGUGCAUGAGUGGUGUUUGGUUUGAUACGGGUGGUCGGCUCCCUGCUUGAGCAGGCACGGCCACGCGUACAUUCCUUUUCAGUUGUGCGGCAAGGCUUGUAUCGUCUUGAUCGUAUAAGUGGGUUUCCUGUGUUGCCUACCUGAUCAAUGGCAUCGUCUUGAUCAAAAGCGUCCCUUUUUCGUCUAGUGUUGCAUAUGCAUCAUUGGAUGAACCGUGUAGCAUUCUCUUUGAUCCAUACAAUUGAUGUUCAUUCAUUGAUUGUUUGGCUCAUUGAGCGUGACUUGGUCCCUUGAAUAUGGAAGCCAAAGUGGGCAUGGGAUCGCAAGAUCCCUUUAGUGCCCUUAUUGAGCGUUUUCGCUUCUCUUACACGACCGUCUCUCACGUAUGGCACGUCCCAGCGUGUUUGGCUAUGUCGAAGAGGAAUGU
rnacentral:misc_RNA from 1 species